CACAUGCAGUCGAGCGGAGACAGGGAGUAGCUUGCUAUGAACUGUUUUAGCGGCGGACGGGUGAGUAACGCGUGAGCAACCUUUCCCAGACAGGGGAAUAACACACCGAAAGGUGUACUAAUACCGCAUAAGACCACGGAAUCACAUGGUUCUGAGGUAAAAGAUUUAUCGGUUUGGGGUGGGCUCGCGUCCGAUUAGGUAGUUGGUGAGGUAACGGCCCACCAAGCCGACGAUCGGUAGCCGACCUGAGAGGGUGAUCGGCCACAUUGGGACUGAGACACGGCCCAAACUCCUACGGGAGGCAGCAGUGGGGAAUAUUGGGCAAUGGAGGAAACUCUGACCCAGCAACGCCGCGUGGAGGAAGAAGGUUUUCGGAUCGUAAACUCCUGUCCUUGGAGACGAGUAGAAGACGGUAUCCAAGGAGGAAGCCCCGGCUAACUACGUGCCAGCAGCCGCGGUAAUACGUAGGGGGCAAGCGUUGUCCGGAAUAAUUGGGCGUAAAGGGCGCGUAGGCGGCUCGGUAAGUCUGGAGUGAAAGUCCUGCUUUUAAGGUGGGAAUUGCUUUGGAUACUGUCGGGCUUGAGUGCAGGAGAGGUUAGUGGAAUUCCCAGUGUAGCGGUGAAAUGCGUAGAGAUUGGGAGGAACACCAGUGGCGAAGGCGACUAACUGGACUGUAACUGACGCUGAGGCGCGAAAGUGUGGGGAGCAAACAGGAUUAGAUACCCUGGUAGUCCACACUGUAAACGAUGAAUGCUAGGUGUAGGGGGUAUCGAUCCCUUCUGUGCCGCAGUCAACACAAUAAGCAUUCCGCCUGGGGAGUACGGCCGCAAGGUUGAAACUCAGAGGAAUUGACGGGGGCCCGC
rnacentral:rRNA from 1 species